AGGGGCUUUAUAAGGCAGUGGGCAAGCUACUAAGGAGGUUGCGAACAGGAAGCCACUAGUUACCAAGGCAAUAGGCAAGAUUCUACAUGGAGUCAGCAGGUUAAGUGAAUAUGUUGCUAAAUUGGGACUCGGGAGACCUGGAGGUCUAUUCCAAACUCCAUCACUGACCAGCUAUGUGAUCUUUGGUAAAUCAUAUCACCUCUGUGUAACUGUAAAAAAUAAAACUUCAAAAAGGUCUGCAAAGACAAUGGUAUAUCUUCAAGUAAUGAAAAAAGAAGUUUGAAAUGGUUUCAUCUAUGAAGAAAAGUAUCCCUUUUUUGUUAAUGUUUUUAAAAAAACCUCUUUAGAAAGAGUCUUUUAAAUAAACUCUUUCCAAUCUUUGUUACAGACAAGCUCUAGAAACAUAGUUCUUCAGUCUAACAGGGACAAUACAACCAGGGCACUUUAAGAUAAAAGCUUGUUUUCAGAUAAGAAUGCUUUGAAGCUAGAAGAUCCACAACAAUGUCUCACUUCUCCAUGUCAAGCAUGUGACUCCAGAGCACUUUCAACAGCAAAUGUCUAAACAUAAAGCAUGUAAAAAGAAAUAAUUAAAACCCAAAACAUGUUUAAUGUCGCAAGAAAAGAAGAGAGGCAUCAAACUGAACUCAUUUGCUUUGUCAUAUCAUGCACAGAAUAUAUGCAAUGGAAUCCUCAUUUGCAAAUGUUUGCUCCAUCAAAAAUCAUCAUUAGGAUAUACUUUCUAGGCAGCACACAGAGUGAACUAAUGCACAUCCUGACUGCAGGUGUUGAUUAGACAUUUCUGUUCAAACUAAGAAUUACCCAAACACUGCUACAUCUAAAUUGUCCUGUUUUUCCUCUACAAGUAAAGUUAAUGGAUUCCAUAGGGAUGAAGACUUACAGAAAAUCUAAACUUCAGGGAAAAAUACAGGCUAAAAAGAAAGAAGAGAGAAGCACUAUGUGAACUCACAUCAAAUCUGUCUGAGGAACACUUACUUACUAUAGAUGUCAAUUAAAAAUAGCUUACAGCGCACCAUGUACGAACUAGUACAGUAAACUUCCGAUAAUCCGGCACCUUUAGGAC